rnacentral:rRNA from 1 species
GCUGCGUAGCAAGUCGAGCGGGGAAGGGUAUCACGUACUUAGGAAUCUGCCAUUUAGUGGGGGACAACAUUCCGAAAGGAAUGCUAAUACCGCAUACGUCCUACGGGAGAAAGCAGGGGAUCUUCGGACCUUGCGCUAAAUGAUGAGCCUAAGUCGGAUUAGCUAGUGGUGGGGUAAAGGCCUACCAAGGGCGACGAUCUGUAGCGGGUCUGAGAGGAUGAUCCGCACACUGGGACUGAGACACGGCCCAGACUCCUACGGGAGGCAGCAGUGGGGAAUAUUGGACAAUGGGCGGAAGCCUGAUCCAGCCAUGCCGCGUGUGUGAAGAAGGCCUUUUGGUUGUAAAGCACUUUAAGCGAGGAGGAGGCUCUCCUAGUUAAUACCUAGGAUGAGUGGACGUUACUCGCAGAAUAAGCACCGGCUAACUCUGUGCCAGCAGCCGCGGUAAUACAGAGGGUGCGAGCGUUAAUCGGAUUUACUGGGCGUAAAGCGUGCGUAGCGGCUUUUAAAGUCGGAUGUUGAAAAUCCCCGAGCUUAACUUUGGGGAAAUUGCAUUUUCGAUACUGGGGGAAGCUUAGAGUAUGGGACAGCACGG